AUUCCAUUGGUGAACCAGCUUAGGAAACCUUCAAGGAAACCAGUUGUAUCUACCUCAAACAAUGUCAAAUUUUCCCGUCAUGUGAUCAGUCUGGU